GCUGGUUUGGCUCAGUGGAAAGCGUCAGCCUGCAGACUGAAGGGUGCUGGGUUCGAUUCCAGUCAAGAGCA
rnacentral:tRNA from 1 species